rnacentral:rRNA from 1 species
UACGUAGGGGGCUAGCGUUGUCCGGAAUCAUUGGGCGUAAAGCGCGUGUAGGCGGCCCAGUAAGUCCGCUGUGAAAGUCGGGGGCUCAACCCUCGGAUGCCGGUGGAUACUGUCGGGCUCGAGUACGGAAGAGGCGAGUGGAAUUCCUGGUGUAGCGGUGAAAUGCGCAGAUAUCAGGAGGAACACCGAUUGCGAAGGCAGCUCGCUGGGACGUUACUGACGCUGAGACGCGAAAGCGUGGGGAGCGAACAGG